rnacentral:rRNA from 1 species
AUUCCCUUAGUAGCGGCGAGUGAAGCGGGAAGAGCCCAUCGCCGAAUCCCGGCGGCCCCUGGGGCCCCGGGAGCUGUGGCGUGAGGCGGCUUCGGGCGCGAGAGUCCCACGACGCCGAGGUCCUCCUGAUCGGGGCACCUUACCCGGAGCGGGUGUCAGGCCCGUUCGGGCGUCGGGGCUCGAGGGCCUGGAGCCACCAAGAGUCGGGUAGUUUUGGAAUGCUGCCCAAAGAGGGGUGGUGAACUCCAUCCAAGGCUAAAUACUGGCACGAGACCGAUAGCAGACAAGUAC